CACGUAGGGCGCAAGCGUUGUCCGGAAUUAUUGGGCGUAAAGAGCUCGUAGGCGGACUGUCACGUCCGCUGUGAAAAGCUAGGGCUUAACCCUGGCCUUGCAGUGGAUACGGGCAGACUAGAGGUAGGUAGGGGAGAAUGGAAUUCCCGGUGUAGCGGUGAAAUGCGCAGAUAUCGGGAGGAACACCUGUGGCGAAAGCGGCGCACUGGACCACAUCUGACGCUGAGGCGCGAAAGCUAGGGGAGCAAACAGG
rnacentral:rRNA from 1 species